GUAUGCCCCGUUAUUUCCCUCUUAGUCACAGUUUCUAACAGUCAUUAAUUUUUGCGCUCUUUUAUGUACUGAUACUGAUAGUGGGAGCCCUAUUAUGGCAUAUCAUCCACUACACUUUCUGCAGUACUGGGAAAUCUUGGACAACAUUUUUUCCCUGCAAGCUUCUGAUUAGCCAUCGACCAAAACCAGAAAUGAACAGGAAAUAUCUACUGGAGUCUACUAGGGAUAUUCCUUUGUGAACAGUUGAUAGGGAUUAAUUUGAAUUACAUGGAGGAAGAAAAAAUGCAUGCCACAUAUAUACAUAUUUUUAUUUUUGAAUUCUUGAAACUCAUCAAACUCUUUUAAGAAGCAGAUAAUGAUAUUUCAUGACACUAUUUUUCACUCUUGCUUUUUCUUUUUGGGGUUUG
rnacentral:lncRNA from 1 species